rnacentral:SRP_RNA from 1 species
GCCGGGCGUGGUGGCUCAUGCCUGUAAUCCCAGCACUUUGGGAGGCCGAGGCGGGUGGAUUACCUGAGGUCAGGAGUUCGAGACCAGCCUGGCCAACAUGGUAAAACCCUGUCUCUA